UACGUAGGGCGCAAGCGUUAUCCGGAAUUAUUGGGCGUAAAGAGCUCGUAGGCGGUGUGUCACGUCGGCCGUGAAAACCUGGGGCUUAACUCUGGGCGUGCGGUCGAUACGGGCAUCACUAGAGUUCGGCAGGGGAGACUGGAAUUCCUGGUGUAGCGGUGAAAUGCGCAGAUAUCAGGAGGAACACCGGUGGCGAAGGCGGGUCUCUGGGCCGUAACUGACGCUGAGGAGCGAAAGCGUGGGGGAGCGAACAGG
rnacentral:rRNA from 1 species